GGUUGUGCUUAACAGAACUUUUUGUCAUCUUUAGUUCAAGACUCUGCACUCCUUUUUGCCAGACCCACAUGCUAUGAGUUUGCUACGUUUUGGAAAUCUAAGUACUAAGAAUGUAUGUUUUAUUUAUAAAGAGCCCCUGUUGAGGUCAAGGAAUAGGAGGCUGAAUACUGGUGUACUUCUUUCUAGGAAAGACCUCAAGAUAACUACUUCAAGGAUGAUGAUGUUUUUGAAAGUCUUACUCAGAUCUAAUAGGAACUAUCUUCAGUCUCCAGUGUGAUACUUGGGAAUCUUAAGCAGGUCACAGAGCAAUUUUAAAUGGCCCACAUAAGGAAAACAUUAAAAUGAUCAGAGACUGCCAACCUCCCUGGACGUUAAUCAAAAACAAGGUGUGUUCAAGUGCGAGUUGUGUGGGUUUCUAGACUCUUCAGAUGGUUGUAUGAAGAAUCUGGAUGUGUAGGAAUAGAGUUUUGGCUGACUGAAAAUGGACUGGGGAGGAGCUAUUGUAAACACAAGCAUAAGAGAGAAGUCCCCAGUACUGAUGAGGCUGAAGGAAGAGAGGCACAGGGAGCAGUGAUUUCUCUACCUCCAAUCCAGGAAAAGGCUCUUCAAAUUAUUCUUUCAGUUGAAUUGCAUGAUUGUAAGGCAAUUGAUGAUGGUUACAAGAUGGAAUAAACGUAUCACCAGUAUUACAAAAAAGGCCACGAAGAAUGGUCAGCAGAUAAAUUAGCAUCUGAACAUUGGAUAAGUGAGAGAUUUCUUCAUGUUCCCGAAUAGUGUUCCCCAGCUGACAUCUACAAGGAUGAUGAAACAGGACUUUAUCUGAAUGGUUCUGUGACAAAGCAUGUGUAGAAAAUUAAGGAGUAACCCUAAUAGGUCAACUGAAGUUCAAGAAAAUUCCAUGGUGGACUGGGCCUACAUACAGAGAGGAUCUCCAAGGAACCUGUUCAUCUAAGUGAAAAAUUGGCUCAAAAUAUUCAAAAACGGUCUCCUACUUUUCUGUGGGCAAAUUAGGCAUACAGUCAGGUUUUACAUAGACCUUCACUACAGUUGCAUAAGUAAACAACCUGUAUGGAAAAAAAUAAUAAAGGUUGAAUGAGGCCCUCUAAAGUUUGGUCCUUAGUAUAGUUGGUGAAUCCUGUGCACUUAUGUAGAUAAUCCAUAUCUUACAGACAGGAAAAUAAAUCAUUUUAUCUGAAUUUCCAUUUCUACAAGUACAUAGUUAUGUGCAGAUUCCAGUAACCAUACAUAAAUGGAUUGUAGGUUAAUUAUCUCUAUAUACAGAACUUAUACAGUAUGCUUAUUUUACGGAGUGCAAUCAACAUUUCAUACAGCUCUACAGCUUCAGUACUCUAUUUCUUUCAGUGAAAUUGCUCUUGAUUUAUGCUGGUGUAAAUGAGAGGCAAAUCAGAACAAUAACAGCCAGAGAGAGGCUUAACUUUCAGCUGUCCUCUGCUUCUCAAAAGUGCUCUGACAAGUUUGAUGGUGUUACUUUUAUUAGAACUCUGCAGCUUCCUAACAUUUAACAAUGGAUAUUGCAGAAAAUAUUAACAUGAAGCUAUAACAAUAUUUGGCCAGAAUGCCUUCUGUGAUUGUAAGUUUAUACGUGACUAUACACAAAAACAAUAUUUAGCUUUCGUCUCCAGGGCUGUUGAAAUGGAAACCAUACAAUUUUCUUUGUCACUGCUCUGCAGCUUCCAUGACUCUAGGAUAGCUCUUACAUAAAAUGGGGUACAUUGCUACAGAGGGAUAUUUUGGGACUGAACAAGAAAAGUUGAUAAUCAUAUGAUAGCAGGCUAUUUGGAAAACAAUGUAAUUUUGGUCCAGACUCAUCAAACUUAUUACAGAGCUCCUAGUCUUAAAAUGUAUAAUCAAUGGAUGCAUUUUUCAAUCCUGCAUCUUUUCAGGGUAUUUAUAUGCAAAAAAUUACAUCAGUUCAAGCUUGCAAAAUAUUCUCCUUAUUCGAGUCCUGUAAACUUCAUCAGAGAAUGACAUUCUUUCUACAGGUUUUGUGAAACAUCCUGUAGCAUGUACAGUCUUAUUUUAGUAUAGAUAAAUAUUCUAUACUAUAAAGCAGUGGUUUUCAACUUUUUUUUUAAUUUUGGACCCCUAAAAAAAAUACUAAAUGCAGGUGCAGACCUAUUUGGAAAUUUCAAAUGGAGGUGCAGACCCCUUUGAAUUGUAUGUGAAUACCCAGACUUACUUUUUAUUGAUCGUAGUCAUCUUUUGCAGAUCUCUUACCCUCUUAGCCCCAGGGGUCUGCAGAUUGCAGUUUAAAAACCAUUGAUAUAGAGUGAUGUCUAUUUAAAACUGGCAGAAAUUUGGAGUAAUUUCAGGGGGGAAAAGCGCUCUUAUUACCUGUAGAAUUUUCUUAAGUGCUGGGUGGUAAUUACAGAGCACAUCACUCCUUCCAAAUUAUAGUCAAUGGCCUUAGGGGCUUUGCCUACCCCUGCCAGUAGUAUUUCUGGUGGCAGACAGUGCUCACUACCUUCCUUGGAUUGCUUAUAUAUCCCCUGAUUUCUGGCAGCUCUGUGUGACUCCAUGGAAGUAUUAGUGCUGCCAGAUUGCAAAGCAUAUCUUGGGAAGGUGCCAGUUGCUGAAGAGACUCCUACAGCCCACAGAAGGUGAGGGAGUAUCUACCAACACCUGCUGCCUGCUGGCUGGCAAAGGUUUUAGACACCAGAGAGUACUUAUGAGUGUAGGUGCUGACAGAACUAUGUAGUGUCGAGUAGGCUUAAUUCAACACUAGUUGGUUUACCUUUCCAGCUGUGAAUUCCUGGAGACCUCAAAUAGUACCCCUUUCACAUCUCUCCCUUGUUGUUUGGGCCCUUUGUCCAUACAAUUCUUUUCCCUCAUCAUGUUAAUGAGAAAAUUUUAGGGGUCAAUCUCAUCUAUUGAUGUGAGCGCAUUUAAUAAGGGCUUUGAUAAAGUUGAGAAAUAUUUGGUUAAGACCCACUCCUUAAUCUUUUUGGGAGCAUGUACAAAGUCUAUUCUUUUUGUUGCUCAUCAUUAUUCCUAUGAACACUUUUCACUUGUUCUGCCAGAUUUCUGGGACCUUUUUAAAAGAAGGGUAUAGCCCAGGUAGCCAAAAAAGUGCUGUAGUCACCCAACCUGCAUCCUCCAUUUUUCUUGCUUGGUUUAGAAAGCAGAUGGAUGUGUAGGCAGUCAUAAAUUCUUCCACUGUAACACUUCCCAGGAUUUCAGAAGGUGACUUGCCAAGAAAUUAAUUUCAGAUUUUCUCUCUUUUGAAUAAGAGAUGAAAAAGAUUCUCUUUCUCUAAGCUGGAUGCAAUGAGUCAACAUUUUACUAGUACUUUCCUUUCCCUGAGUUUAUUAUAUGAUGUCUGAACAAUUCAAGAUACAAGUUUUUUGUUCUCACUUCUCCUCUCUGUUUAGGUUUCAUCUCCACCUGUCUUCUCAUAGGCCUGCACAUAAUAUGACUCCGAGUCCUUUUCCCAGAAUAGCAACCUGGUGACUAAUUGACGUAUCAAGACCUGAAUGUAUGCAACAGUUGCCUUUCCCACUGAAUGAUUCCCUUUGUAUGGCAUGAUAUAAUGAAAGCCUGGGGGUAGCCAAUUUUAUCAUGCAGGUUGGAAAAUGCAUUAAAUUUUUCACAUUUCAGGAAAUAGUCUUUAUGUUUGACAUUUUGAAAUAACUGCAUUUUAUAACAAAGGCUUAUGGCUUGUUUAUACAGCAGAAGUGGUGGGUCCCAGUCCACCUACUCCUGAGCAUGCCACUUGCAUACUGUACCCUCUCCCCCCCAGUCCAAUGACUUGCUUCAGACCCUGAAAUAUUCCAGUGAAGAUGCUCUGGGGAAUCCCUUUGCACCUACUCUUGAGACCUUGGUCUCUGGUAUUCUUGAGAGCAGCCAUUAGGGAUGACCCUGGGGGCAGCCGUACCAGUAUACUGGGUUUAGAGCAUUUGCUGUAGUAUAGGGUGGACAUAGAACAUUUGAGAAUGGUACAACUGGGAUAUAUCACCUCCAAGGAUGAGAUAGACCCUAAAUGGCUCUCCUCUGCCUUACUGUGGUAUCUUCCUUGAAUAUCGUCAUCAUUGCUCAACUAGCAGGACUAAGGUGUUUCAAAAUAAGUAAAACCACAGAUAAUGUUUGACUGCACAUUUUUUAUUAGCACCCUGAAAGGCAACCCAAACCCCUUGGCAAGAAUUCUGUCCCCUAGCAAUUUUUAUAAUUUUCAGAACCUGGUGGUGUUAUGCGUUGAAAUGAAAAUAAGACCAUUCAAAUGAUUUUGUGAAAGCAGUUUCAACAAGAGGCCAGAUUCCAUUAACCUAUUAGGCACAUAGAUGUGCUUAGGUACUUCAGUCCACUCUUAUCCCAUUCUGUUUGGGUCCCUGAAAAACAUUUAGUACAAAAGGUCAUUGCAUCUUCUUCCUCCUUGCUGUUUUUUGUGACUGAGUCUUAAGGGUCAGAGGAUGGAUAAUUGCAAAAGUAGAUGCAUAAGAAGAUUUUCAUGGUCUUGAACAGGAUGUAAUACAAUUACGCUAAGUCAACUUAGAUGCCCAUCAGGUGGAAUAGAAAUGGACCCAAGAUGCCUGUCUUCUAUCAUUCUGUACAUGUUUUCUGGUUUGGUAAGCAUGAGUAACUUGCUUUUUGGGUGAUGGCUGAUUAUACAAGAGAGCUGGUUUCCAGUUCCUGCUCAUCCUGGUUUGAUUCAGAACAAAGUUUUUCAUUCUAGAUUACUUUGAUUCAAGGAGAGCAUAAACUUCAACCUGAGCCUCCCAAAUUAGAAGGCAAUGUCUUAGACCGAAGCCUGUAGAGAGUCACUGUUUUCUCUUCCUUUACCCCUCCUGUCACUGGAAAGCUUGGCUUCAGCAAUUUUCCAUUUAAGUAAAAAUGUUUGCAAUCUCUCCUUUUUAAAUUCAUAUCAACAAGUGUGUUCCUUGCUGAAUAAAUAAAGGAAAUCAUGCAUACUUUGCUAUUCAGUCUUUUGUAUCCAAUAAUUGUGUCUACUGUAUUGUUGUUUGAAAAUAGAUAACUAGACAGGAUUAGGGUACAGCUUAGUUUAGCUCUCUUCUGAAAUACUUUAAGUACAUUUUAGCAGCUGAGCAUAAUUGAAAUACUAUAGCAGAUGGAUUCCCAAAGCAGGGAGUAAAUUACAUGGUAGUUAUAAGUAAAUAGAAUAGUGUUU